rnacentral:rRNA from 1 species
ACGGGAUAACCGCUGAAAGCAUCUAAGUGGGAAGCCCACCUCAAGAUGAGCACUCUCAGGACGUAAGUCCUCUGAAGGGGCGUGAGAGACGAUCACGUUGAUAGGCGGCAGGUGGACGCAUGGCAACAUGUGAAGCCGAGCCGUACUAAUCCCCCGUGAGGCUUGACCGCUC